UACGUAGGGGCAAGCGUUGUCCGGAUUUAUUGGGCGUAAAGCGCUCGCAGGUGGUCCGAUGCGUCGUGCGUGAAAGCCUCCGGCUCAACUGGGGAGUGUCGUGCGAUACGGUCGGACUGGAGGCCAGUAGGGGGAUGCGGAAUUCCCGGUGUAGCGGUGAAAUGCGCAGAGAUCGGGAGGAACGACCCGUAGCGGAAGGCGGACACUCUGGGCCGGUACUGGACGCUGAGGAGCGGAAAGCGUGGGGAGCAAACAGGG
rnacentral:rRNA from 1 species